AACAACAACAAUAGCAGCAAUCCAGGUGAAAAUGGCAAUAAUAUUGGGUAUGGGGUAAGGUAUAGGGUGCUGACGGUGUUUUGUAGUGGUAUUUGUGUGUUGUGGUUGUGGUGGUAGUGGUAGAGUGGUAUGUUGUAGGGCGAUGUGUUGUACUGGUGGUAGUGUUGUCACAUUGUGGUGGUGUUGUAGUAGCGGUGGUAGUGGUGGUUCUGUAGGUGGUGUGUCAUGUUAUAGUAAGUAUUUUGUGGUAUGGUACAAUGUACAGUGUGGUGUGUGAUGCUGGUAUAUAGUACAAUGCAUAGUGUAGUGUGUGAUCGCAGUGUUGUAGUAUAGUACAGUGUAUGGAGUGGUGUGUGAAGUGGAUGUUGUAAUAUCUUACAGUGUAUACUGUGGUGUGUAAUGGAGGUGUAGUAUAGUAUAGUACAGUGUAUACAGUGGUGUGUGAUGUUGGUGUUGUAGUGUGG